rnacentral:pre_miRNA from 1 species
UCACUAAGGGUCUGGUCCAAAGCCCAUUGAAGUCACUGGGAGUCUUUCCAUUGACUUCAGUGGGCUUUGAAUCAGACUCUUAGGA